rnacentral:rRNA from 1 species
CGUGUUAUCGGAUUACUGGGCGUAAGCGCACGCAGGCGGUCAAUUAAGUCAGAUGUGAAGCCCCGAGCUUAACUUGGGAAUUGCAUCUGAACUGGUUGGCUAGAGUCUUGUAGAGGGGGGUAGAAUUCCAUGUGUAGCGGUGAAAUGCGUAGAGAUGUGGAGGAAUACCGGUGGCGAAGGCGGCCCCCUGGACAAAGACUGACGCUCAGGUGCGAAAGCGUGGGGAGCAAACAGGAUUAGAUACCCUGGUAGUCCACGCUGUAAACGAUGUCGAUUUAGAGGUUGUGGUCUUGAACCGUGGCUUCUGGAGCUAACGCGUUAAAUCGACCGCCUGGGGAGUACGGCCGCAGGUUAAAACUCAAAUGAAUUGACGGGGGCCCGCACAAGCGUGGAGCAUGUGGUUUAAUUCGAUGCAACGCGCAGAACCUUACCUACUCUUGACAUCCAGCGAAUCCUUAGAGAUAGAGGAGUGCCUUCGGGAACGCUGAGACAGGUGCUGCAUGGCUGUCGUCAGCUCGUGUUGUGAAAUGUUGGGUUAAGUCCCGCAACGAGCGCAACCCUUAUCCUUUGUUGCCAGCACGUAUGGUGGGAACUCAAGGAGACUGCCGGUGAUAAACCGGAGGAAGGUGGGGAUGACGUCAAGUCAUCAUGCCCUACGAGUAGGCUACACACGUGCUACAUGGCAGAUACAAGAGAGCGACCUCGCGAGAUCAGCGCACUCAUAAGUCUGUCGUAGUCGAUGAGUCUGCACUCGACUCGAUGAGUCGGAAUCAAUAGUAUCGAGAUCAAUGCUACGUGAUCU